rnacentral:rRNA from 1 species
AUUGAACGCUGGCGGCAGGCCUAACACAUGCAAGUCGAGCGAGCGGCGGACGGGUGAGUAAUGUCUGGGAAACUGCCUGAUGGAGGGGGAUAACUACUGGAAACGGUAGCUAAUACCGCAUACUAUCAGAUGUGCCCAGAUUGGACUAGCUGGUAGGUGGGGUAACGGCUGACCUAGGCAACGAUCCCUAGCUGGUCUGAGAGGAUGACCAGCAACACUGGAACGGAGACACGGUCCAGACUCCUACGGGAGGCAGCAGUGGGGAAUAUUGCACAAUGGGCGCAAGCCUGAUGCAGCCAUGCCGCGUGUGUGAGGAAGGCCUUCGGGUUGUAAAGCACUGUCAGCGGGGAGGCGUUACCCGCAGAAGAAGCACCGGCUAACUCCGUGCCAGCAGCCGCGGUAAUAC